rnacentral:rRNA from 1 species
UACGUAGGGGCCUAGCGUUGUCCGGAUUUAUUGGGCGUAAAGAGCUCGUAGGCGGUUCGGUAAGUCAGGUGUGAAAUCUCCACGCUCAACGUGGAGGGGCCACCUGAUACUGCCGUGACUCGAGUCCGGUAGGGGAGUGUGGAAUUCCCGGUGUAGCGGUGAAAUGCGCAGAUAUCGGGAAGAACACCCGUGGCGAAGGCGGCUCUCUGGGACGGUACUGACGCUGAGACGCGAAAGCGUGGGGAGCGAACAGG